ACAAGACCUCUGGCUGCAUCACGUAAACCCUCUUACAGGGACAAAGUCUAGAGAAUCUGAAAUGGUGAGCCUAUAUCUUAAUUAAAGCCCUGAGAAUAACAUUGAAGAAGAUUGCCUAGUAAUGAGGAACAAUGGAAGAAGCAAGGAGCCUGGAAUCAGGCAGACCUGGGUUUGAAUUUGGCUCUGUCAGUUUCUGGUGAAGUGACUUGAAUAAUGAACAUGACCCUUUCUGGGUAGCAUUUACAGCACAAGGGCAUUUGGGAAAUAAAUGAAAGACAAUGUAUAUAGCACCUAGCAGGGGGCUGGACACAGUGCCGGUGCUCAGCCAUCAUGAUGUCACAUGUACACUGGCCAGUGAGCGUAAACCCUUGGGAUGUCCAGAGGUGGUAAAGCCAGGAGUUCCAGAAGUGUGGGAUUCUCAGAAGGAAAUGGAGCUCUCUUCUCUAAAGGUCCUAUUCAAGUUAGAAAGUAAGAUACAAUGCACACAAAGCCAAAUUGUCAUCAUUCAGCUCCUAUUACAGGGGAAUGAAGAGCUUCAUAGAAAAUUACUUGCAAAGCUUGUAAGUGGUUUUGCCACUUAUUAGCCAUGUGAACCCAAGCAAAUUACCCAGCAUCUCUGAGUUUCAACUUCCUCAUCUACAAAAUAGGAAUGAUAAUAGUAUCCACAUCACAAGAGUUAUUGGAAAAAUGAAAAUGAGAUCUCAUAGGAGGUAACAUGUAUUGAGCAUUUACCAUAGGCCAAGCACUAUUCUAAGAACUUUGGACAUGUUAUCCUGUUGGAGGCCACACAAAUGUUUCUUAUGAUUAGGCAUAAUUGAAGUCUUGUCAGUAACAACAUGAACCUGUGAUCAAUUAAGCAGCUGACCAAUCAUUACCUCCUCCUCCUUGAUCUUGUUAUCCAAUAAAUACAAAGGGCUGUAGAAGCUCAGGCGCUGCCUUUGCUCACUAGAAGCAGGGAGCUCUCUUCUUCUUCCCCAUGCUAGCCUUUCCUUAAAACAGUUUAUUUUGUCUUAAGUUUUCAUUUCUACGUUCAUUCCUUCGUUCAGUCUUGCAAUGACAGUCUCAGGCAGUAAGAGUAAGUGCUGUAAUGAUGAUCUCAAGCACUUGACAGUAGUAACUGCUAUAAUGAUGGUCUCAAGCAGUAACAGUAGUAACUUCUGUAAUGACGGUCUCAAGUAUAGCAGUGGCCGCCGGCCACAAGUGGCACCAAACAGGGAUAUCAGGGAAAAAAAGAGACCUGAAGAGACCCAAAGGGACCUGAAGAAGCCUGCAAGGAUAAAUAGAGAUAGAGACAAAUAGAGAUAGGUAUAGAUGAGUAGGUAGAGAUGAGAUGAGAAGGGAGAGUUGAGAAGGGAGAGAUGAGUAGAAAAAGAAAGGGACUUGCAGGAACUUGCAGAAACUAACAGGUACCAUAGGAACAGACAGGGAUAAAGACUAGCAAACACUAGCAAUAUAAGGUCAGUGCCCUAAAGAGGUACAAAAGUAGAGACUAGUAGAGACUAGCAAUGACUAGCAGAGAUUCUCAGGGACAGAUAGGGUCCUAUAGGGACUUGAAAGAGGACGGUCUGCUGGAGGGAAAAAAAAAAAAAAAA
rnacentral:lncRNA from 1 species